CAAUGAGUGUUUUAUGGCACUCUUUAAAAAUCCAUAUCCACCUUGUGUGCAAUGUUUGUUGGGAGAGAGGCAACUCUUUCCCUUCACAAAUAUCAACCUAUAUCUUUAACAACAUUCGUCUGAUAACAUAUUAUGAAUAUACUUAAUUCAAAAUAUAACUUUCAACAACGGAUCUCUUGGCUCUCGCAUCGAUGAAGAACGCAGCGAAGUGCGAUACGUAAUGUGAAUUGCAGAAUUCAGUGAAUCAUCGAAUCUUUGAACGCAUAUUGCGCUCUUUGGUAUUCCGAAGAGCAUGCUUGUUUGAGUAUCAGUAAACACCUCAACCUCCUCUUGUUUUUUCAAAAGGAGGGUGGACUUGAGCUAUCCCAACAACCUUCACCGGUAGGCGGGCGGCUUGAAAUGCAGGUGCAGCUGGACUUUUAUCUGAGCUAAAAGCAUAUCUAUUUAGUCCUCGUCAAACAGGAUUAUUACUAUUGCUGCAGCUAACAUAAAGGAUAAUUGUCCUCAUUGCUGACUGAUGCAGGAUUUUACGACACUUUAUGUGUUGUUCAACUCGAUCUCAAAUCAAGUAAGACUACCCGCUGAACUUAAGCAUAUCA
rnacentral:sRNA from 1 species